rnacentral:rRNA from 1 species
GAUCAUGGCUCAGGAUGAACGCUAGCGAUAGGCUUAACACAUGCAAGUCGAGGGGCAGCAUGGUCUUAGCUUGCUAAGACUGAUGGCGACCGGCGCACGGGUGCGUAACGCGUAUGCAACUUGCCUCACAGAGGGGGAUAACCCGUCGAAAGACGGACUAAUACCGCGUACACUCCAGUUUGGGCAUCCAAGCUAGAGGAAAUGAAUUUCGCUGUGAGAUAGGCA